AUUGAACGCUGGCGGCAGGCCUAACACAUGCAAGUCGAGCGCGCGGCGGACGGGUGAGUCAUGUCUGGGGCUCUGCCUGAUGGAGGGGGAUACCUACUGGAAACGGUAGCUAAUACCGCAUACCAUCAGCUGAACCCAUAUGGGAUUAGCUGGUAGGUGGGGUAACGGCUCACCUAGGAGACGAUCCCUAGCUGGUCUGAGAGGGUGAUCGGCCACAAGGGGACUGAGACACGGUACAGACUCCUACGGGAGGCAGCAGUGGGGAAGAUUGCAAAAUGGGCGAAAGCCUGAUGGAGAAAGGCCGCGUGAAUGAAGAAGGCCGUCGGGUUGUAAAGUACUGUCAGUAGGGAGGCGGUACCGACAGAAGAAGCAACGGCUAACUACGUGCCAGCAGCCGAGGUAAUAC
rnacentral:rRNA from 1 species